CACACCUCGGCCGUUAACCACGGUGAUCAUGGGCAUGCAUUAUGCAUGACUAGUGCCAUCUGUCGGCGAGUGACAUACAGCUGCCACUUCCCCUUCCCAGAGAAUAUAGUGUAUAUAUGUCUCUGUCCUUACCGACCAGUGAGCCUCGCGCUGGUCACAACACUUUACGCGUGUUCAUAACAACCAGUGUAACAAUGUGAGACAACAGGAAACGUGACUGGACCCGUAUCUAUGUGGGUCGUUGAUCACGGUCUACUGAUUAUGACUGACUACAAUAGGACAUUUGUGGAGCCUCAGUCAAGCGGAUAAGGAUGGUACCGGAAACACCAGUGAGUGUAAAUCUGUGACAACGGUCACGACCAAUCCAUGGACGUAACCCAAUCCGAACAAGGGGCGUGUUCGGUAAAGAAAUACAUAUAUAGUGUUUCGAUAUUUAAAUUUUGAAGACUCUAGUUUGAUUACAAACAUUCAUUAAAAUCCA